rfam:Picoides pubescens contig65043, whole genome shotgun sequence.
CGCUGUUUAGCCCCAUUUCGGACACUCUGCAGACGGUCACAAGCCCCAAACAGAAGCGGUGGCGCCCACCAAAUAGGAGGAGAGAUCCACCAGCCGUGC